rnacentral:rRNA from 1 species
AGAGCGAACGCUGGCGGCAGGCCUAAUACAUGCAAGUCGAACGGAUCCUUCGGGAUUAGUGGCGGACGGGUGAGUAACACGUGGGAACGUGCCCUUUGGUUCGGAACAACUCAGGGAAACUUGAGCUAAUACCGGAUGUGCCCUUCGGGGGAAAGAUUUAUCGCCAUUGGAGCGGCCCGCGUCUGAUUAGCUAGUUGGUGGGGUAAAGGCCUACCAAGGCUACGAUCAGUAGCUGGUCUGAGAGGAUGAUCAGCCACACUGGGACUGAGACACGGCCCAGACUCCUACGGGAGGCAGCAGUAGGGAAUCUUGCGCAAUGGGCGAAAGCCUGACGCAGCCAUGCCGCGUGAAUGAUGAAGGUCUUAGGAUUGUAAAAUUCUUUCAGUGGGGACGAUAAUGACGGUACCCACAGAAGAGCCCCGGCUAACUUCGUGCCAGCAGCCGC